GAGGCCAACAGCUGCUUGAUGCUGAGAA
rnacentral:piRNA from 1 species